UACGUAGGAGGCAAGCGUUGUCCGGAAUUACUGGGCGUAAAGCGCGUGUAGGUGGUGGGACAAGUCUGCUGUGAAAGCGCCUGGCUUAACCGGGCGAGGUCGGCGGAAACUGUCCGACUCGAGGACGGUAGAGGGGGGUGGAAUUCCCGGUGUAGUGGUGAAAUGCGUAGAGAUCGGGAGGAACACCUGUGGCGAAGGCGGCCCCCUGGGCCCGGCCCUGACACUGAGACGCGAAGGCGUGGGGAGCGAACGGG
rnacentral:rRNA from 1 species